rnacentral:pre_miRNA from 1 species
CCCUUAACUAUUAAAAGUUUCGUUUUGGUCCCUUAACUUAUUUUUUGGUUUCAUUUUGGUCCCUUAACUCUUCCUCCGUCAACCACUUUGGUCCUUUAUGUUAGGAUGAAUGUAUUAGAGUUAAGGACCAAAACGAAAUCAAAAAAUAAGUUAAGAGACCAAAACGAAAACAAAAAAUAAGUUAAGGGACCAAAACGAAACUUUUAAUAGUUAAGAGACCAAAACAAAACCAAAAAAUAAAUUAAGAGACCAAAACGAAACUUUUAAUAGUUAAGGGA